rnacentral:rRNA from 1 species
UACGUAGGGUGCAAGCGUUAAUCGGAAUUACUGGGCGUAAAGCGUGCGCAGGCGGCUUUGCAAGACAGAUGUGAAAUCCCCGGGCUUAACCUGGGAGCUGCAUUUGUGACUGCAUGGCUGGAGUGCGGCAGAGGGGGAUGGAAUUCCGCGUGUAGCAGUGAAAUGCGUAGAUAUGCGGAGGAACACCGAUGGCGAAGGCAAUCCCCUGGGCCUGUACUGACGCUCAUGCACGAAAGCGUGGGGAGCAAACAGG